GACGAACGCUGGUUUGCGUGCUUAACACAUGCAAGUCGAACGGAAAGGCCCUGCUUUUGUGGGGUGCUCGAGUGGCGAACGGGUGAGUAACACGUGAGUAACCUGCCCUUGACUUUGGGAUAACUUCAGGAAACUGGGGCUAAUACCGGAUAGGAGCUCCUGCUGCAUGGUGGGGGUUGGAAAGUUUCGGCGGUUGGGGAUGGACUCGCGGCUUAUCAGCUUGUUGGUGGGGUAGUGGCUUACCAAGGCUUUGACGGGUAGCCGGCCUGAGAGGGUGACCGGCCACAUUGGGACUGAGAUACGGCCCAGACUCCUACGGGAGGCAGCAGUGGGGAAUAUUGCACAAUGGGCGGAAGCCUGAUGCAGCAACGCCGCGUGCGGGAUGACGGCCUUCGGGUUGUAAACCGCUUUCGCCUGUGACGAAGCGUGAGUGACGGUAAUGGGUAAAGAAGCACCGGCUAACUACGUGCCAGCAGCCGCGGUGAUACGUAGGGUGCGAGCGUUGUCCGGAUUUAUUGGGCGUAAAGGGCUCGUAGGUGGUUGAUCGCGUCGGAAGUGUAAUCUUGGGGCUUAACCCUGAGCGUGCUUUCGAUACGGGUUGACUUGAGGAAUGUAGGGGAGAAUGGAAUUCCUGGUGGAGCGGUGGAAUGCGCAGAUAUCAGGAGGAACACCAGUGGCGAAGGCGGUUCUCUGGGCCUUUCCUGACGCUGAGGAGCGAAAGCGUGGGGAGCGAACAGGCUUAGAUACCCUGGUAGUCCACGCUGUAAACGGUGGGUACUAGGUGUGGGGUCCAUUCCACGGGUUCCGUGCCGUAGCUAACGCUUUAAGUACCCCGCCUGGGGAGUACGGCCGCAAGGCUAAAACUCAAAGGAAUUGACGGGGCCCCGCACAAGCGGCGGAGCAUGCGGAUUAAUUCGAUGCAACGCGUAGAACCUUACCUGGGUUUGACAUGGAUCGGGAGUGCUCAGAGAUGGGUGUGCCUCUUUUGGGGUCGGUUCACAGGUGGUGCAUGGCUGUCGUCAGCUCGUGUCGUGAGAUGUUGGGUUAAGUCCCGCAACGAGCGCAACCCUUGUUCACUGUUGCCAGCACGUUAUGGUGGGGACUCAGUGGAGACCGCCGGGGUCAACUCGGAGGAAGGUGGGGAUGACGUCAAGUCAUCAUGCCCCUUAUGUCCAGGGCUUCACGCAUGCUACAAUGGCUGGUACAGAGAGUGGCGAGCCUGUGAGGGUGAGCGAAUCUCGGAAAGCCGGUCUCAGUUCGGAUUGGGGUCUGCAACUCGACCUCAUGAAGUCGGAGUCGCUAGUAAUCGCAGAUCAGCAACGCUGCGGUGAAUACGUUCCCGGG
rnacentral:rRNA from 1 species